rnacentral:lncRNA from 1 species
GAGAAAAUAACAAAGCCCUUAAGCUUUGGACAGACACCAAAGAGCCUUGUUUCAUUUUUGGGCUGUCUUCAUUUCUUUUACAGUAAAACCAGCCUGUCUUCUUGUUACUCCAUUUCAGCCACAGCUAUUUUAGAAAUAAUUGUGUCACAUAAAUCUCUUCCUGGUAUCUGCUUUUGCUGUCCUCUUUCCCCAUCACAGAACAAAGAAAAUACUUUGAUGAAUUAAAAUAUAAAAUAAGGAAACAAACCAAGGUAUUUAUUUUUCUGGUCAUCAGUUAGUAAACACUUAUAUUUUCAUUACCCAGUAAUAUACUUUAUGAUGUUACACUUUUUCCUUCUAUCUAGCUGUCAUUUAUAAGAGUCAAUUUUAGUGAUUAUAUAAAGUGAUGGAGAGCAGUCAAGCUGAAGGAUCAUCAAUAACUGUAAAUGAUUAAAAAGAGUGUUUACAGUAAGGCACUAGUUUCAUGACCUUUGUAACUGGUUACAUUUCUCCUUUGUGUCAGUGUGACUGUCUCUUGGUUGAUGGUAAUGUGCAGGGACUGCAAGGCCUGCGUGGGAUCAGUCAGGUCUGGUCAUGGCCUCAGGGUCCGGAAGGGACUUACAGCAGGCUGCCCUAGCUUGGACACUCCGUUAAACACCAUCUACCACAGAAGGAGAGACAGACAGACAGAGACACAGAGGGAUAGACUCCACCUGCCAGGUUUGAAAGAGAGGCGGAUAAUCUUUCUAGAUCUUGAAGAGGCAUGUAGGUUGGAUAGCAGCCAGGCCUGUAGCCAGGUUCUUCAGUGA